rnacentral:lncRNA from 1 species
AACAUUUCCAAACCUCUGCUUGCAUUGCACAGCAAGGUCAACGCUGAUGAGAGCUGAGGCACGCUCGUGUGCUAAUCUGUCUUUCUAUAGGAUUUGCUGCUCCGUAAGAAAUUCUUAUUCAUCUCUAAAGGUCCUAUUUCUUGGGCGUCCUGGUCCAGAUAAUGCCUCCUUGCACGGUCAUUAUCUUGCAAACACUGCUGAUGAUGUGGAGGAUGGGAAAAAUCAUGGGGGAUGUCACACCUCUUGCCCGAGUUUGCCAAUGACCUUAGGCCAGACCUUCAGGUUUUGA